GAGAAUUCGAACAGGAAUUACUCAAGGAAUAAUGAAGUUCAGCUUCGUCAUCUGUCCCUGGGCCAAUUGAACACAUUCUACAAAGAAAAACAUGUAUGUGACUUUGAAUGCAGCAGUGAAGCACUGAAGUGUAUCGACGAUCGUGCAUUAUUUAAAUAUUCCUGGAAAUCAAAAAUAAUGCAAACAGUUUCAAUCGACUUACGCCUGCUACUUGAACAAAUAAUCUCCAUGCUAUAUAAUGCCAUGCAAUGUUAGUAAUGAAAUAGAAGCAGACAAACAUGAAAUGCAAUAA